UUUUAUAAGUAUUUCGACUUUAAUAUCUGUCAAGUGCUUUAAUUUUUGAUUGGCAUUUUGGGUUUGCAUUUUACGACUUUUUAAGCGAAAGUCAGGUUAUUGGUGCAUUGUCACAAAAUCACUCUGACUGGCUUUCAGUAAUUUAUUUCGAAUUCACAAUUUUUUAAUUUUUAAAUCGUUUCGAUGUUACUCUACCACUCCCAAAUACCAAGAAAAGAAAGUUGCAAUAUGAGAACCGUGGGGGGGUGCAAUGUUGGUGUAGCGACGGCUCACGGGCGCUCAAUACGGGAUGGUCUGGGGCGGGUGUGUACCAACAAGACACUAAGCGGAGCGUCGUUUUGACUAGGAAGCUGGAAGACCAUGUUUCAAACGGAAUUAUAAGUAAUCCUGGAGGUUGCCACACAUAUGGAAGUUACAGAAGGACUGCUGCCCUCGAGGCAGUCUCAAGAGUUAAGAUGUGCAGUAGUAGUAGAACAGGAACAAUUAAACCUGGGGUGGAUUCACCAGUGGGCAUUGGCAAGGCUCGGACCUUCUGAGAGCCCAAUAACUGCCGCACCUCACGGCACCAAAGAGAUGUGGAGAGAGGCGGAAGUGUGUAGAGAAGCUAAGGAGUUGAUAGAAACCCCAAGUGGCGCCAAGGCAACAAUCCAAAUGGUUGAUGUCAAGGAGUCGUUGGGGCCUGAGAACUCUGGUUGGGGUCAUAACAAGCUACUGUGGUUUGAACAGACACAUACACCUACUAGGAAUUGGUGAUAGCCCCGUGUGUCCACAAUGCAGAAUACUGGAGGAAACAUCAUACCACCUAGUCGGAGUCUGCCAUCACUGGUCGUCUACUAGGAGGGGCCUCCACACUCUUCCGCAUCGAAUUGUCUUCCUUGGAGUGGAGGUGGAUCUUUGCCUUUGUCAGGGAGACGGGACGGCUGGGUAAGGUGGGGAUAGAUGGAGGGGAAAUGGCGAAAAGGUGCCUUUAAAACCAACCCGCCGAACCCAUCGGGUCCCCCCACAAUACCACCACUGCUACUUCUCCACCACCCCCAGUUAGUCUAAAACAAUUGUCAAAACUCUUUGUCCUAGUAAGAUAUGAACCAUUCUAACGUUUUAAAUUAAACAAGCAGUCGCACUGUU